GAACGUCCCUCGUUUUUGAGCACACCUUCCACUCAACGUUCCAGUACAGAUUGACGUUUUGGUUGACUGAUCAAACUUGCUGACGUGAGCGAGUGACAAAGAAAUGCAGGGACAAAAGAAGAAUCGAAAAUGUGCUAUCUUCGACUACGAUGCAAGUGAUGAUAUCCAAAACUGUUUAUUUGAAGUGAAAUACCUAAUGAAUUCAUUAUUUACUAUGCUUAAUUCUAAAUUUGUUAUUCUAUUUACUUACUAAGUUCUAUACACCUAGAUCGAAUUCACAAUAGCUAUAUGUAUCGAAUCAAUAUCUGGAUUCGUAAUGAUUUGAUACGAUAUUCCAUAAAAGCGAUUAUUCUAAGACACUUUCCGGGUUAGAAACUAGAGAAAUUACAAAACGAAACUUUAAUCGUUGGAAUCAAUAAACCAGUUUAAAAGUUCGGAUCGUCGUAUUUCUCGUUGCGCAAGCAACA